AUUGAACGCUGGCGGCAGGCCUAACACAUGCAAGUCGAGCGAGCGGCGGACGGGUGAGUAAUGUCUUGGAAACUGCCUGAUGGAGGGGGAUAACUACUGGAAACGGUAGCUAAUACCGCAUACCAUCAGAUGUGCCCAUAUGGGAUUAGCUAGUAGGUGUGGUAAUGGCUCACCUAGGCGACGAUCCCUAGCUGGUCUGAGAGGCUGAACAGCAACACUGGAACUGAGACACGGUCCAGACUCCUACGGGAGGCAGCAGUGGGGAAUAUGGCACAAUGGGCGCAAGCCUGAUGCAGCCAUGCCGCGUGUAUGAAGAAGGCCGUAGGGUUGUAAAGCACUUUCAGCGGGGAGGCGUUACCGACAGAAGAAGAACCGGCUAACUCCGUGCCAGCAGCCGCGGUAAUAC
rnacentral:rRNA from 1 species